CAGCACUUUGGGCCUCCUUGGCUGGUGGUGAAAGGUGCCUUAUAAAUGAAUAAAUGAAAUGAAAAAUGAAAUAUUUUUUAUCUUUAGAACAUUAAAAAUAAGUAAUCAGAAAUGAUAAACAAAGAAUUAGACUAUUUAGAACAUUUAAAUAUAUUACUUCAAUUUUACUUUUUUCUAUAUUAUUUUACUUUAUAUUAUUUUUUUGUCUUUUUUUCUUUAUUGGUUUAUAUUAGCUUGUGUAUUUCUUUAUCUGAUGGCUUGAACAUGGUUUUGUUUAAAGAAAACGCAUAUAAAGGAUCGUAUUGUCUUUCAAUUUUGUUUGUUAUCUAGUUGUCAAUAAAGGUUUAUUUAAAAAAACAAAUUUUCUGUCUUCCGCUUUCGUCACACGACCCGCUGAAAUUCAAAGUUGAAGGAGGGGUUCGAGACUUGCGACAACAAGACAGUCGAAACUGUCUGCAGACGAUUGAGCUGCGUCAGAAGUUUACUUUUACCCCCAUCUUCUCAGAAUGGAAACUGAUGAAGAAAAUUGUGCUGCCAAUUUAAAGAGACAAAGAGAACCUUUGUCUGAUGCAGAGGAGAAUACAAACUUUGCUGCAGAGAGCAAUGAAGGCCAGAAGCGGCCACGUCUAGAAUCAGCUGGUCAGGAGAACCGGAGUCCUAAACCAUCUUCAUCCGGACGCCUGGCUGAACUCCAGGCAAAGCCAGACACACCUAUAGUUCCCUCAGUCCGAUCCCGAGUUCAGCUGUUCUCACAGAGACAAGAAGGAGGAGCAGCUGGAGCCAUGCGGUGCCUCUCAGAUCCUGGAUCUCAAGGUCCCUCUUUCAUCCAUCAUGACAGGAGUGUCAGACAGCAUCUUCUUGGUGAGGAUAAACAAACACAUGAUCUGUCUUAUUUAUCCCCUAAUCACAACAACAGACUGAAACUACUAACUGUCAUUUAUAGGGCUGUGGAUCAUUGCUUAGGUGGUGAUCCCAU